rnacentral:rRNA from 1 species
CCCUCAGAUGUUCUGGGCCGCACGCGUGCUACACUGAGUGGAUCAGCGGGUCAGGUUGCGCGAAAGUGUUUCCUAAUCUUGAAAUCCGCUCGUGAUGGGGAUUGACGGUUGCAAUUUUCCGUCAUGAACGAGGAAUACCUUGUAAGCGCGGGUCAUCAUCCCGCGCUGAAUACGUCCCUGCCCUUUGUACACACCGCCCGUCGCUCCUACCGAUUGAGUGGUCCGGUGAGGCUUUGGGAUCUGAGCGGAAAGAGCGUUUCGCUGUUUCUGCUCGGAAAACUCAGUCGAACCUUAUCAUUUAGAGGAAGGAGAAGUCGUAACA